GAAAUGCUCCAAGGUGUCCCAGCCCCCGCCCACUCUGACCAUCAUGUGUCUUCCCUUCAAAAGCUGCGAACACGUCGAGUAAUAUUGUCAUUAGUAACGGAAGAUGUACUUCCAACUGUACCCGGCAGGUUAACAAUAAAUGUACAGAACCACCGAUAUGAAGUCGCAACGAUGUUGUAACGAAGCCCAAUUUUACGAGUUUUGAUUACCGCAUAAUGAAAGGUAGAUCAAUGAUACGAAAUAAUACUAUACGCACAUAUAGUUCAAAUCUUAAUUCGAGAUAAAGGAUCAGAUAGAUGAUACAUACUCUGAUGAAGACAUUUCGUCCAGCGAUAUGGUACCGUCCU